rnacentral:tRNA from 1 species
UUAUUUGUGCCUGAUAAAUAGGUCUAUUUUGAUAGAAUAGCAAAUGUAAUGAAAUAUUACCAAAUAAU